UUGAUUCAUUUCCGGCGCGCCCGCUGGGGGGCGCCGAGGAGUACUCAGAGGUAAGAAAGCCCGCGAGGGGGCAUGCAAAGGGUUUUGGUUGUUUUUUUUCCCUCCGGCGGGCGCCUUGGUCCGGGGCUGCGACGCGCCCGGGGCAGAAUCUCCCGCCGAAGCAACGGUUUGGUAGGGUUCACAUUGGGUUUGGGAGUUGUAAACUCGGUAAUGAUCCCUCCGCUGGUUCACCAACGGAGA
rnacentral:misc_RNA from 1 species